CAGACUUGAGGCAGGUAGGGGCACAUGGAACUCUUGGUGGAGCGGUGGAAUGCGUAGAUAUCAAGAGGAACGCCGGUGGCGAAAGCGGUGCGCUGGGCCUGUCCUGACGCUGAGGUGCGAAAGCCAGGGGAGCGAACGGGAUUAGAUACCCCGGUAGUCCUGGCCCUAAACGAUGGGCACUAGGUGCGGGGGGAUCGACCCCCUCCGUGCCGUAGCUAACGCAUUAAGUGCCCCGCCUGGGGACUACGGCCGCAAGGUUAAAACUCAAAGGAAUUGACGGGGCCCCGCACAAGCGGUGGAGCAUGUGGUUUAAUUCGAUGCUACGCGAAGAACCUUACCUGGGCUUGACAUUGACUGGAAAAACCUGAAAGGGUAUAAUGCCGCAAGGAACUGGUCAACAGGUGCUGCAUGGCUGUCGUCAGCUCGUGUCGUGAGAUGUUGGAUUAAGUUCCGCAACGAGCGCAACCCUCGCUGCCAGUUGCCAUCAUUUAGUUGGGGACUCUGGCGGGACUGCCGGCACAAACCGGAGGAAGGUGAGGAUGACGUCAAGUCAGCAUGGCCCUUACGUCCAGGGCUACACACGUGCUACAAUGGCCGGUACAACGAGCUGCUACGGGGCGACCCUGAGCAAAUCUCUUAAAACCGGUCCCAGUUCGGAUUGGAGGCUGCAAUUCGCCUCCAUGAAGUUGGAAUCGCUAGUAACCGCGGAUCAGCAUGCCGUGGUGAAUACGUUCCCUGGGCUUGUACACACCGCCCGUCACACCACCCGAGUCGGGUGCACCCGAAGUCGCUGUCUCAACCCUU
rnacentral:rRNA from 1 species